AAGGGAGACCUAAUUCCGGUAGGAGACGAAAAAAAGUAGUCCCUACCAAGAAUCAAUCCCAAAAGGUCGGAGCGAGGCAAAAUUGGCUUUCAAACUAGGUUCUGGGUUCACACAAGACCUGAAUCAGGAACAAGGGCUAUUAGCUUAGGUGGUUAGAGCGCACCCCUGAUAAGGGUGAGGUCCCUGGUUCGAGUCCAGGAUGGCCCACCUGCACAGGUGGAAGAAAGAAAAAAGCUCCGAAUCAGCACCUUAUCUUACUUAUAUAGUAAGAGAGAAUGCUGGCUCUGAGUACAGAGUCCAGAGGAACCUUGAAAACUGCAUAGAGCUAGGUGAAAAAGCCAAAAAAGAAGGCCGCAA
rnacentral:tRNA from 1 species